rnacentral:tRNA from 1 species
AGCUCAGUCGGUAGAGCAGUUGGUUUUUAUAAUCAAUUGGCCGCAGGCCGAAUCAUCCUGCAUGACCCA